UUGAUCGCUAACCCUGGAGUGGACCCUUUAAAUGCAAAUGAACCGCCCUCUCGCUUUUGCCCCCCCACCCCCACCCCAUCUUCGCUCCUCGUGCCCAGACUCCGCCAGCUGCCAUUGACGUCACGCGUGCGUCAGCGUCGCCAGCCCAACCAGACGGCACGUGGGGGGAAGAAGGUGGCCUUAAAGGGCCAGACGCUCUCGGACUGCCGGGUUAGUGCUGUGAGAUUUGGCCUUGAAAAAGAGGAAUGAAAUGGGAGGUGGGGAACUCUGUUGGAACAGAAAGAAAUGCAGGAUAGACGUUAGGAAGGACUUCCCAGAGUAGGACGGACAGGCCUUUCCUCUAGAUUCCCCAGAAGUUUGGGUAUUUGCUUCUGGGAGAGAAACCCGGGAGGAGCAGAACAACUCUGAGGGUAAAGGAAACUUGGCAUUUACGACUCGCGCACUUAUAAUUUCGGCCUUUCCUCUAUCCCUGCCCAGCAUGUCCACAGCGCAAGGACUUCGGUCACUUCGGGAUCCUCAGCACCAACAACAAGGGCGUAGUAGAUACUCAAUUUAAGUAUUUGUAGAAUGAAUUGAGUAGGAUGCAAAGCCACCUCUUUUAGGAGGCUUUCCCUGAUUGCCCCACCCAGCCACGCGUAGCACAUACCCGAAGCUAAAGGCAAUCUCACUCUCUUUUGAACACCCACGGCGUUAAUGAAUUUACAUCUUCCUUCCAGGCAUUAGCGACCACAAGGGCAGUGGUUAGGAGCCCGAACUUGGAAUCACAUAAACGUAGGUUCCAGUUCCAUUUAUAUAGUUUACAAGCUGAGUGACUUUGGACAAAUCUCUUCAUCUUGGUUCUAAUAACUGUCAAAUGGGGCUAAUGCCACUUAGACCACAGAUUUGUUAUGAGGAUUAAAUGGGACAAUUUUUGUGAAGUUCCUAUAUGGUAUCUAAUGCAUAGUAAGCACUCAAUAAUGGUGGAGAGCAGGUUUUAAGAUGGCCAUCUCCCCCACUAAACUUCAAGCCUCUUGAGAGCAAGGAGCUUGCCAUACUAAUUUAUUCCCAGCACCAACACAAUGCAAGGCUUACAGUUUGUGCUUUUAAAAUGUUUGUUGAAUGAAUAAACAUGAAUGAAUGAGUAUUUCAGUAUUUCCUGAAAUCUGACCUCCAAACCCACCCCUGAAGUUGUUACCAAAGAGAGAAAACAUUACAAGUGCCCCCUCUGGCCCCAGGUUUUAAGCUCUGUGGUAGAGCCUCAAGGUAGAGUUGGGGUGAGGCCCUAAUCUCUGUGGUUGAACCAAAAGUAUUAUGCAAACAAGCCUCAAAUGAUUGGUCUGCAAUGGAGACCUGAAGGGGCCCUCCCCACCUCUCCCCAUCCCCAGCUGCUAGAACCCUGUCCCAGCAAACCCAGGCUGGGCAUCUGCCAGGAACACAGGACACUAGGGAGCUAGAAGAGAGCUUCUUGCCCCUUCAGAGUUUCUCAGCCCCAACACUAAUCCAUCUUUGGCCUUUUCUUCCCUGGAGCCUAGUCUGUCCCCCCAUCAAUUCGUCUCCCCAGCUCUGCCUCCCAUCCCCCAUUCCAACCCUCAUUCCCUCCACAGUUUUCCAACAGUUAUAGUGGAGGGCGAGGGGGACGCAAGACCUCCUAUCACCUGAUUCCAGCUCCUUGGCCAGAGGAGCAGUAGCCACCUCGUCCUGGUUCAGCCUGUCUUGAAGCUGCUUAUCGAUCUGAUUUUCAAUAUCUGUCACCAUCUCUGAAGUAGAAGGGCUGACAGACAACAGAAGGGACUUCCUGCCAGGGGAGGAGCUAUGAGCAGAAGGCAGUGAGACCCCUCUCCUUCCUUGAAGACCAGGAAGAUGUGCAUCCCUCCAACCCUGCCGUGCCUGGGCUCCACCCGGUCUCCCUUUACUCAAAGUAUUUCCUCUCAGCCAUCUCUUUGCUGACUGCUCCCUAGUCCUGGUUCUUAACCCACAGAUAUUUAAAGUGGAAAUGAGAGAACUGAAGUUCUGGAAAGGUGAGAAUCAAGUCUACAGCCCAUUCGUUCAGCAACUUCCUGUUUCCACCCCGUGAAGUUCAGCAGCGCAGCAGCGCAGAGGGAAUUUGCACAGAUGGUUGUGGUGGCAUGGCCCCCGAUCUGUGAGGAAUUCUGGAGUUCUGGAGAAUAGAAGGGGAGCCAAAGACUGGAGGUGAAAAUAGGAGCUUCCAAUCUUUAGGGAAGGACUUCCUUGGUGGUCCAGUGGUUAAGACUCCGUGCUCCCACUGCAGGGGGCGCAGGUUUGAUCCCUGGUUGGGGAACUAAGACCCCACAUGCCUCACAGCCAAAAUAAAUAAAUAAUAAUAAUAAGGAGGAGGGAAAGAGAACCCCCACCACCAUUUUGGUAGGUGAGAGAGGAAAGCAGGGGUCAUCAGGAGCUAGCUGGGGUUUGCUAAUCCCUGACCACUCAAGUGGGCAUAGGCAUCACCUGGGAGACGGUAAGAACUGCUGAGAAUCUCGACCCACUCCAGACCUACUCAUCACAACUUACAUUUUUUUUUUUAACCUUUUUUUUUUUGGCCCCGCUGUGCAGCAU